rnacentral:rRNA from 1 species
UCGACGAGAGGACAUGGGAAGCUUGCUUCCUAUGAAAUCGAGUGGCAAACGGGUGAGUAACGCGUAAACAACCUGCCCUUCGGAUGGGGAUAACAGCCGGAAACGGCUGCUAAUACCGAAUACGAUCUUUUCGUCGCAUGACGGAAAGAAGAAAGGAUGGCCUCUAUACAAAGCUAUCGCCGAAGGAGGGGUUUGCGUCUGAUUAGCUGGUUGGAGGGGUAACGGCCCAACAAGGCGAUGAUCAGUAGCCGGUCUGAGAGGAUGAACGGCCACAUUGGGACUGAGACACGGCCCAGACUCCUACGGGAGGCAGCAGUGGGGAAUCUUCCGCAAUGGACGAAAGUCUGACGGAGCAACGCCGCGUGAGUGAAGAAGGUCUUCGGAUUGUAAAGCUCUGUUAUACGGGACGAAAAAGACGGAUGCCAACAGUAUCCGUCCGUGACGGUACCGUAAGAGAAAGCCACGGCUAACUACGUGCCAGCAGCCGCGGUAAUACGUAGGUGGCAAGCGUUGUCCGGAAUUAUUGGGCGUAAAGGGCGCGCAGGCGGUUCGGUAAGUCUGUCUUAAAAGUGCGGGGCUUAACCCCGUGAGGGGACGGAAACUGUCGAACUUGAGUGUCGGAGAGGAAAGCGGAAUUCCUAGUGUAGCGGUGAAAUGCGU